rnacentral:rRNA from 1 species
CGUAUAUUAAAAUUGUUGCGGUUAAAACGUUCGAAGUUGAUUAUUGUCCAGUACGGGUGUUACACCAUCAAGUAAAUGGUUGUAAUCACUUUCCGAUUACUUGGACUCGCAUAUGUCUGAACACCCAAAUGGAUAACAUUCGAUACCUUUUAUUAGGUUGUCAUUGUUAUUUAGUUCAGCUUACUAUUACCUUGAACAAAUUAAGGUGCUCAAAGCAGGCUUCUCUAUGCCUUGAAUAUUUUUGCAUGGAAUAA